rnacentral:rRNA from 1 species
UGGGGAGUCUUGCUCAAUGGGCGAAAGCCUGAAGCAGCGACGCCGCGUGAAGGAUGAAGGUCUUCGGAUUGUAAACUUCUGUUAAGUGGGAAGAAAGACUCAAGCUUAAUACGCUUGGGGGAUGACGGUACCACUAGAGAAAGCACCGGCUAAUCUCGUG